rnacentral:lncRNA from 1 species
GGACCAAGGCUCUUGGUGGUUCACAAUAUGCCAUGGACACAUCAAUGGCAAAGGUGGUUCAUGGAGUUCAGGCCUGGAAGGCCUUGGGGCAACACAAGGCUUCUCCCCUAGGCCUCCAGCAUUGCUAAACACAGCCACUUGAAAUUCAAAAGAGGACAGUCACUUUUCAUUUCCUUGUUUAUUAAUUUGAGCCCUGAUCAUGCACCAGGCACAGGGAUAGGUCAUGGAGAUACAUUGUUGAAUGCAGCAGGUGUAGACCCUGGCCCAGGAAGCUUGCAGUCUGCAGAGAUGCAAACAUUCCACAGGGGGUGAGUUCUGAUGUUCCCAGGAACUCCUGUUUUAGCCUUAAAGGAAAAGAAAUUUUUUAAAGGUUCUCAACCCUGAAUCUUGUCUUAGUUCAUUUGGCCUUAUAGAACGGAAUGUCAUACACUGGGUGUUCUAUAAAAAAAGACACAUUUAUAUCUCAUUGUUCUGGAGGCUGCAAAGUCCAAGAUCAAGGUGCCGCCCUCAUUAAGUGUCUGGUGCGUGAACCAGCUUCGUAAUUCAUAGAUGCCAUCUUCUCGAUGUGUCUUCGCGUGGCCAAGGUGAAGGGGAGCUCUCCGGGUUCUCUGUUAUGAGGGCACUAAUCUCAUUCAUGACGGCUCCAUCCCCAUGACCUAGUUACCUCCCAAAGGCCCCACCUCCAAAUACCAUCAUCUCAGUGAUUAGGUUUCAACAUAUGGCUUUGGGGGGAACAUAAACAUUCAGUCUAUAGCCCAUCUCAGUAGAUUACGAAUAUACAAACUCAGUCUUCUGGCUUUUAUUCAAGAAUCUUUUCCUCCUUAUUAAACUGGUCCAUGUAGGAAACAAAGAUGAGAUCUGCUUUUGCUCCAAGCAGGACUCUUGUGCUACUUGAACAAAGUCAUAGCUGAGAGAGUGAAUAAUAAGGGUUAAAAUAUUAGCAAGGAGAAGGAAUUGUUGGGGCUAUUUGGAUAACAGUGAGAUGCCUCUGUGUGUGUGUGUGUGUGUAGAGAGAGAGAGAGAGAGAGAGAAUAGCACACAUAAGCUGUUUUGUGGUGCCCUAACCCUAGACCUUGCCUUCCCUAGAAGUUUCUAGGUUUGAGUCUUGGCUGGAGUUAGCACUGCAGGAACCUCCCUUGAGGUUUCUCUUCCAUAACAUUCACAGGAUAGCUGCCUCAUUACAAGUGGUAGGGACCCGACUGUUAUCUAGGACAGCACUUUCCAUUGUUGAACAACACUGCUCCCUCUCCUCCCCUUUCCACAUUCAUCCUCUGAGCAACCAAGGAUGAAUAGCCCCUGUGCCCGGCUAGAAAAGCAGAAGAAGGUGGGUUCCGUGUCCCUGAGGAGCUCACAGAUGUUUGAGGGUCUCAGAUAAGUAAACAGAAGAUGACACGGAAAUGCAGUAGGCGCUCUGUGGGGCAUGGUGGUACCCUGUGCUCAUCUCUGAGAGAGCAGCUGACUCAGGCAAGGCAUCUGGGAGGCCAUUCUGGAGGAAGUGAUCCUGGCUGAGUCUUAAAGGAUGCAUAGGUAUUGGCCGAACAAAGUGGAAGGAAAUUCCAGACAGAUGAUGCAGUGGGUGCGAAGGCACAAAGUCAGAAAAUAGUAAGAUGUAUCCCAUCCACCUGUAACCCUCAAGUUGAGGGGGUUCAGCAGGGAGGCCUCCCUCCCCUUCCCUUCCUCCUUACCCUCUCUCCUCUCUGUCUGCAGCAUUGUGGGUAAAGUGUUCAUUAGCUGUUGAAAUCUCAGGAUAGCAAGGCAAACUCAUGAACACCGUGGGUGGUGGGGUCACCGUAUUAAAAGGCUGUGCCCAGCAGUGGGCUCUCUGCUUUGCUUUCCUGGAUCCAGGAGAAGGAGGGAAGCCAGGGCCCAGCAUUUAGGGAGGAGACCCAGCCACUUCCUCUUUCCAUCAGGCAUGAGCUCAAGUACUUUCAACUCUGGCCUCUUGUCUCACACAGUUGGCUCGUUGGUGGUAUAAUUCCAUGACCUGGACUUGGGCUUAAGAGCUUCACACAAAGCUCCAGCAAACUCCACUUGAGGUUUGGGGUCCAAGGCCAGCUACUAAGAUCAUCUUUGAUUUUUCACAUGUAAGAGGGCCUAGGCAAUCCUGGAUCCCUUGGUCUAAUGAAAAAAAAUGUGGAUCCCACGAUUGUUCUUAAUGCCAUCUUUUGGGUGUGCCCUGAUGUUCUGUCUUGUCCGGAAAGCCUUUCCUUACUUCUUUUUUUCCCAGCUGGAUCAAACAGAUCCUACCCCCAAUUCAAGCCAACCUCUCAUCGCCUUCUUUUCUUCAUCCACUUACCUCAUUCUAGCUUGCGUUUUACUGGUGCUGACCUCAUCUUAGAGUCUGGAAGACCGCUCACGUUGUACCUCUUUUGUGUUCUCUACUGCACUGAGCACAUCCAGGACAAAUGCUUAAUAAAUAUUUAUGGGACCAAAUUUUUCCUGGCAGAGGAAGGGGAAACUCACAUCAGUGUAACUUAUGGUGGGCCUCGUGCUAACGUGAUUUCUUCAUUCAUCCCUCCAACCACUGUUCCCUGAGGACUAGGAGGGCAAGAAUCUGUCCGCCGGUCAUAGGCUACCUGCCCUCCUGGAGCUGAGUCUCCUUUCAUUCACAUCACAGUGAGGAGGGUUUGGUUUUUCACUAACUCAGUGUUUACCAAACAGCCACCAAUGGGGAAGGCUACUGGGUUCGCAAGCAAGGAGGCCCAAUCUGAACCCAGGUCUCCAAGGAGGGUGAGGCAGGUGUCCUGGGAGCAGCUUCUCCAUGAAGCUUUAAUGUCCUUGGCUCUUGCAGCUGUGUUGUGGGUGGUCAGAGCCAACGUGCAUCACUUGCCUGCCACUUGGGCCUGCAGUCACCUUUCUCUCCCUGUGGCAGCAUUCCUAGGGCCUGGUGAGAGACAGGCUGUGGACCAAAGCCAGGCCAGUUACCAGAGCACUUUCCGUCCUCUCCAAACCUGUGAUGCUUUCCACACGCGGCUGUAAUGGGAGGCUCCCUCCGUUUUAAUAAGCCUUUUAAAGAAACACCAGAGCAACACCCAGAUGAUUUGUGAUGAGGAUGAGAUCCACUUUUCCCAUCCUCCUGACCUCUGGGGGAUGAGCAAAGCGGAGGAACAGAGUGUUUCGUACCAUUUCCACCACCUUCUCCCGGCUGGGCGUUCCCUCCAGUGCAGCAGGACUGGUGGCCUCCUGCCGACCCCCCCGCCCCAUCUGCCACAAAAGAAGUCUGGUCGAUGGCUUCAUUCUUACUGAUGUGUUUCAACAAACACACGGAGCACCUUCUUGGUGCCAGACUGGGGCUGGUUGCUAAGGGGACAGAGAAGAGGAGGUGCUGCCCUUGUCCUCAAAGAUGUCCCCAUCUGGAUGUUCCCACGGAAGGCAGAGCUUGAGGAGUGGGUAGUUUUCAAUGGGUGAGAAAGGGAAGGUAUUUCUGGAAGAAGCCACAGCCUGGGCAGAGGCUUGGAGGUUUGGGAGGGUACAGGAUGAGGCAGGUUCAGGGGACAUUGCCUGGGGCAGGAGAGGGAGGCUGAAGCCACUUAGGGAGGGCUCGAAUAGGGUAAGGAGAUGGCUUAUCCUUCAGAAGAUGGGGAGGUGCUGAAAUAGUGCAGAUUCAUGAUCCCUGCUUCACUCCAAGCUCGAAUAGGGAAAUACGUUGAAUCUUCAAAAACAUGACUGUAGCCAGGCAUCCAUCUUUCCUUCCUCCCUCUCUCUUUCCCUCUCUCCUUCCUUCCUUGGUUCCUUGGUUCAUUCGUUUGUUCCUUCCUUCCCUCCUUCUGUCCCCACCUCCUUCCUUCUAUUUAUUUAUUCUACAAUAAAGAUUUAGUCUGCUUAUUCUCAAAGCCAAGAGAAAUGCCUCAUUGAGCCCAUGGUCAGGUACCUAGGAUGCAGAGAAAAAUUAGUUAUUAAGAAAUAGCUACUCCUGCCUCAAUCCCACCUUUACCUUUUCAAAAUUAAUGCCAUCUCGGAGUUCCUGUUGUGGCACAGUGAUUAACAAAUCCGACUAAGAACCAUGAGGUUUCGGGUUCAAUCCCUGGCAUUGCUCAGUGGGUUAAGGAUCCGCCGUUGCUGUGAGCUGUGGUGUAGGUUGCAGACUCGGCUUGGAUCCCGCGUUGCUGUGGCUCUGGUGCAGGCUGGGGGCUACAGCUCCAAUUAGACCCCUAGCCUGGGAACCUCCAUAUGCCACAGGAGCGGCUCAAGAAAAGGCAAAAAAAACAAAACAAAAACAAAAACAAAACCAAACAAAAAAAAUUAAUGCCAUCUCUGUUCUGGGCACUGUGUUCAGCAUUUUUAUAAACAUUGUCUCUAGUUCUCAUAGAUUAAAUAGUAACAACAAUAACCGAUAUAUAAAUGUCAUUUGCUUACUCACUGAUUAUUAUGUACUAAGCACCAUGAGAAGAAUUUUUAAGUUGUCGAAGCCUGUACUGUGAUCACGCCCAUUUUACAGAUGAGGAGACUGAGGUUGAACAUGCCUAAGAAACUCACUGAGGCCAGGGUGUAUAAGAGACCAUAUUCAAACCUGGGCUUGUCCAACUCCAUACCACAUCUGUCCAUACUCCCAUCCUGUCUCCCAGCACCCAGUUCACUCCUCGUCCAAGGGGUAUGACCUUGCCCCACUCUAUGUACUUGGGUGGUGUGUGAAGCUUGAGUGAGGAAUUGUUUUGGAAACUGCAAAAUAAGUACAAAUCUACACUUGUCAGCUGUAACUCUCAUCAAGAAAAACAAUGACUCUAGACAGAAAAAGAUUAUUAAUAAAUGAAUCCUGCUUUACUUUUAUAAAAAUAAAAUACCUAGGGUUUUUUGUUUGUUUGUUUCAUUUAUUUAAAUGCCUAAGCCACAGAGUUCUUUAUAUUUUUAGAACAUUAAAAAACAGAUGCUGUCUGGGAUGUUUUCUGGUAGCCUAGUGGUUAAGGAUUUGGCAUUAUCACUGCUGUGGCUCAGCUUCCAUCUCAGGGCUGGAAACUUCCGCAUGCUGGUGUGUGGCCCAAAAAAAAAAAA